rnacentral:rRNA from 1 species
CUGCCCAAGAGACUGGGAUAACACCUGGAAACAGAUGCUAAUACCGGAUAACAACACUAGACGCAUGUCUAGAGUUUGAAAGAUGGUUCUGCUAUCACUCUUGGAUGGACCUGCGGUGCAUUAGCUAGUUGGUAAGGUAACGGCUUACCAAGGCAAUGAUGCAUAGCCGAGUUGAGAGACUGAUCGGCCACAUUGGGACUGAGACACGGCCCAAACUCCUACGGGAGGCAGCAGUAGGGAAUCUUCCACAAUGGACGAAAGUCUGAUGGAGCAACGCCGCGUGAGUGAAGAAGGGUUUCGGCUCGUAAAGCUCUGUUGGUAGUGAAGAAAGAUAGAGGUAGUAACUGGCCUUUAUUUGACGGUAAUUACUUAGAAAGUCACGGCUAACUACGUGCCAGCAGCCGCGGUAAUACGUAGGUGGCAAGCGUUGUCCGGAUUUAUUGGGCGUAAAGCGAGUGCAGGCGGUUCAAUAAGUCUGAUGUGAAAGCCUUCGGCUCAACCGGAGAAUUGCAUCAGAAACUGUUGAACUUGAGUGCAGAAGAGGAGAGUGGAACUCCAUGUGUAGCGGUGGAAUGCGUAGAUAUAUGGAAGAACACCAGUGGCGAAGGCGGCUCUCUGGUCUGCAACUG